rnacentral:rRNA from 1 species
GGGAUAACUCGGGGAAACUCGAGCUAAUACCGCAUACGUCCUACGGGAGAAAGCGGGGGAUCUUCGGACCUCGCGCUACCAGAUGAGCCUAGGUCGGAUUAGCUGGUUGGUGAGGUAAAGGCUCACCAAGGCGACGAUCCGUAGCUGGUCUGAGAGGAUGAUCAGCCACACUGGAACUGAGACACGGUCCAG